GGAUAGAAAUAAAUAAACCCACUGGUGAC
rnacentral:piRNA from 1 species